rnacentral:rRNA from 1 species
AGGGUUUGAUUAUGGCUCAGAACGAACGCUGGCGGCAGGCCUAAUACAUGCAAGUCGAGCGCGCCCUUCGGGGUGAGCGGCGGACGGGUGAGUAACGCGUGGGAAUAUGCCCUUCUCUAAGGAAUAGCCUCUGGAAACGGAGAGUAAUACCUUAUACGCCCUUCGGGGGAAAGAUUUAUCGGAGAAGGAUUAGCCCGCGUUAGAUUAGGUAGUUGGUGGGGUAAUGGCCUACCAAGCCUACGAUCUAUAGCUGGUUUGAGAGGAUGAUCAGCCACACUGGGACUGAGACACGGCCCAGACUCCUACGGGAGGCAGCAGUAGGGAAUCUUAGACAAUGGGGGCAACCCUGAUCUAGCCAUGCCGCGUGUGUGAUGAAGGCCCUAGGGUCGUAAAGCACUUUCGCCAGAGAUGAUAAUGACAGUAUCUGGUAAAGAAACCCCGGCUAACUCCGUGCCAGCAGCCGCGGUAAUACGGAGGGGGUUAGCGUUGUUCGGAAUUACUGGGCGUAAAGCGCACGUAGGCGGAUUAGUAAGUUAGAGGUGAAAUCCCAGGGCUCAACCCUGGAACUGCCUUUAAUACUGCUAGUCUUGAGUUCGAGAGAGGUAAGUGGAAUUCCGAGUGUAGAGGUGAAAUUCGUAGAUAUUCGGAGGAACACCAGUGGCGAAGGCGGCUUACUGGCUCGAUACUGACGCUGAGGUGCGAAAGUGUGGGGAGCAAACAGGAUUAGAUACCCUGGUAGUCCACACCGUAAACGAUGAAUGCCAGACGUCAGCAAGUAUACUUGUUGGUGUCACACCUAACGGAUUAAGCAUUCCGCCUGGGGAGUACGGUCGCAAGAUUAAAACUCAAAUGAAUUGA